rnacentral:tRNA from 1 species
GAGGAGUUAGUUAACUAAUAACACCACCUUGUCAAGAUGAUAUAAUGAGUUAAAACCUCAUACCCCUCU